rnacentral:rRNA from 1 species
CAUUAUCAACCUUAGUGAGACCUUUUUAAGGUUCUCGCGUUUAUAUACUUAAAACCCAACUCUAUGAAUCAAAUAAAUUAAUUUUCUAUAAAGUUAAAUAAAGAUCACUUUCAACAACGGAUCUCUUGGCUCUCGCAUCGAUGAGGAACGUAGCGAAGUGCGAUAAGUAAUGUGAAUUGCAGAACUCCGUGGAUCAUCGAAUCUUUGAACGCAAAUUGCACUCUCUGGUAUUCCGGAGAGUAUGCCUGUUUGAGGGUCAUUAUAAUGUAAGGAUCGUUUUUGUCGCCUUCUUUUUGGGGGUGACAUUUUCGGAAUUGAGCUUUUUUCUUUUUUACCAUCCCUUCGGAAUUGUUAAAAAGAGGCUUAAAAUUGAUCGUUUAUGAUACGACUUACGUUUAAAUUACAUAGUAAGUACAUGUCAUACAUUUUAUUAGGUCGUGGCUUAGUUUGAGACAAAGUUUUCAAUGACCUAUAAUAGUUUUAUUCAUAAAAUGACCUCAAAUCAGGUAGGAAUACCCGCUGAACUUAAGCAUAUCAAUAAGCGGAGGAAAAGAAAAUAACAAUGAUUCCCUUAGUAACGGCGAGUGAAGAGGGAAUAGCUCAAAUUUUAAAUCCGUCGUUCACCGAUGGAGUUGUAAUUUGAAGAAGCGUUUUCGUCGCCUACGAUUAACCUAAGUCCUUUGGGAUAAGGCAUCAUGGAGGGUGAGAAUCCCGUAUGGUUUAUCAAGGCGUGUCCGAUACGUUUUCUAAGAGUCGAGUUGUUUGGGAUUGCAGCUCAAAAUGGGAGGUAAAUUUCUCCUAAGGCUAAAUAUAGGCGAGAGACCGAUAGCGAACAAGUACCGUGAGGGAAAGAUGAAAAGAACCUUGAAAAGGGAGUCAAAUAGUGCGUGAAAUUGUUGAAAGGGAAACGAUUGAAGUCGGUCGUACAGACGAGAAAUCAACCUCUCGAGGGUGGGUUCGUUUUGCGUAUCUGCAUUCUUGGGGUGUAUUUUCUCGUAUUGUAGGUUAGCGUCGGUUUUGGUCAUUACAAAAUGAUUGGAGGAAUGUAGCUUCGGCCUCGGUUGAAGUGUUAUAGCCUCUGGUAGAUGUAAUGAUCGGGACCGAGGAUUGCAACGGAUACCCUUACGGGCUAUCUGCCUGACCUCUGAUGCGACACUCUGGUGUUGAAAGCUUGCUUAUGAUAUCGGAGCGUUCGUUCAAAAGGUAGAGCGGA